UUGGAGGGCAAGUCUGGUGCCAGCAGCCGCGGUAAUCCCAGCUCCAAUAGCGUAUAUUAAAGUUGUUGCAGUUAAAAAGCUCGUAGUUGAAUUUCGGGAUCAAUGUUUCGGUCAUGCCGUUGGUAUGUACUGAUAUUAUUGGUUUCUCACCUUCUAAAGAACCGUAAUGCCAUUAAUUUGGUGUCACCGGGAAUUAGGACUGUUACCUUGAAAAAAUCAGAGUGUUUGAAGCAGGCUCACGCUUGAAUACAUUAGCAUGGAAUAAUGAAAUAGGACAUCCGAUUCUAUUUUGUUGGUUUCUAGGAUCGAUGUAAUGAUUAAUAGGGAUAGUUGGGGGCAUUAGUAUUCAAUUGUCAGAGGUGAAAUUCUUGGAUUUAUUGAAGACUAACUACUGCGAAAGCAUUUGCCAAGGAUGUUUUCAUUAAUCAAGAACGAAAGUUAGGGGAUCGAAGACGAUCAGAUACCGUCGUAGUCUUAACCAUGAACUAUGCCGACUAGGGAUCGGAUGAUGUUAAUUUUUUAAUGACUCAUUCGGCGCCUUACGGGAAAC
rnacentral:rRNA from 1 species